rnacentral:rRNA from 1 species
AUGCACACUAAAUACAUUCUACAUGGUAUCAGAUUAGAUCCUUCGGCCUCCAUGGCUCCUACCACACCUGCCACCGGCGCGGCCACCCUCGGUGCUCUCUCCGAUGGCACCAGCGCCUCCACGGCCGCCGGCACUACUGCAUCCUUUUCCACUUCCUCAACCUCCUCGUCCGAGUUGGCUGGCUCUACUUCGUCCGGCCCCAACCCGUACGCACUCGGCCUCUUCGGCAUCCGCUCCGUGAUCGACUACAAGCUCGACCUCCACACCGGUCCGUACUCCACCUGGCACGAUGAUAUGGAGCUGCAGGUUGCCAAGUUCGGCCUUCUCCAUCACCUUGAACCUGAUGCCGCUGCCCCGCCCGGUGAUCCGACCUGGCGCCUCCUCGACCUCGACAUCAAAUCGUGGAUCCUGGCCACGAUCUCCGACGAGCUCAAGGCCAUGGUGAAGGGCAAGCCCUCCGCGCGCGAUGUGUGGGCCGCCAUCGAGGCGAUCUUCACCGGCAACCAACGCGCUCGCCAGAUGCAGCUGACCACGGAGCUCCUCCACCAGGUCCAAGGGAACCAGCCCGUCGCCUCCUACUGCGGCCGUAUCAAGGCCAUCGGCGACGCGCUCGCCGACGUCGCGCUGCCCCAGUCCGACGACGCGCUCAUCGUCGCCCUCAUCCGCGGCCUCCACGCCCGUCACAAGAUGACGGCCAAAAUCAUCCAGCGGGAGGCGGCCACGAUCUCCUUUGCGGAGGCUCAGAACAUGCUCGUCCAGGACGAGACGAUGGAGAAGUCCGCCGACCGGCUCACCUCCAACACCGCGCUCCUCUCCGUCAAUCGGUCGGCGCCCUCCGGUGGUCACGGCGGCCAGGGGUCCUAUGGUGUCUCCGGCGGCCAGGGGUCCUCUGGUGUCUCCGGUGGCUCUUCUAGCGGCGCCCCCAACCCCGGCAGCUACGGCGGAAGUGGCCUCCCGCCCGGUACUCCAUCGCCCAAUCAAGGUAAACCGAAGCGCAAACGGUUCAGCAACCACGGUGGCUAUGGCUGGUCUCCACCGACCGGCGUCCGUCCUUGGACUGGUGUCGUCCAAGCAUGGCCGCAGCAGCUUGUUCCUCCACCUCGUCCAGGCAGUGGCGGUGCUCCUGGGCUCCUUGGACCUCGGCCCGUGCCACCCCAGGCGUACACCAUGUACGCGCCGCUCCAUCCUCCUGCGCCUUAUGGUGGUCCGGUGGGCUUUGCGCCAUUCCAGUACGGCCAGCCUCCACCACCGCCCACGUUCCAGCAUGGUCUUCCCCAACCCGCCUUCGCCCCGCCGACUGCACCCAGCUUCGAGCAGUCCGCUUUGAUUGGGGCGCUGCAGGACAUGUCGCUCGCCCAGUCCGGCGGCUAG